rnacentral:lncRNA from 1 species
GACAAUUUAUCAUGUUGAUCCGUCACUCUGUAAUAUGAGUUAUGCCAGUCCAUGACAUGGCCCUAGCCCUAGAGAUCUUCUUUCUCUUUGGUGAGUGCUACAAGAACAAAAUAAAGAGCAAUUCAGAAUUAUCAAGCGCAAAUCGGUACUCGAAAACUAGCGGGAGGUGACAACUUACCUUCCAAUCGAUUUCUCAACCCUUUGUUGCACUUCCAAAGGCG